rnacentral:rRNA from 1 species
GACGAACGCUGGCGGCGUGCCUAAUACAUGCAAGUAGAACGCUGAAGGAGGAGCUUGCUUCUCUGGAUGAGUUGCGAACGGGCGAGUAACGCGUAGGUAACCUGCCUGGUAGCGGGGGAUAACUAUUGGAAACGAUAGCUAAUACCGCAUAAUAGUAGAUGUCGCAUGACAUUUGCUUAAAAGGUGCAAUUGCAUCACUACCAGAUGGACCUGCGUUGUAUUAGCUAGUUGGUGAGGUAACGGCUCACCAAGGCAACGAUACAUAGCCGACCUGAGAGGGUGAUCGGCCACACUGGGACUGAGACACGGCCCAGACUCCUACGGGAGGCAGCAGUAGGGAAUCUUCGGCAAUGGACGGAAGUCUGACCGAGCAACGCCGCGUGAGUGAAGAAGGUUUUCGGAUCGUAAAGCUCUGUUGUAAGAGAAGAACGAGUGUGAGAGUGGAAAGUUCACACUGUGACGGUAUCUUACCAGAAAGGGACGGCUAACUACGUG